UACGGGGGGAGCAAGCGUUGUUCGGAUUUACUGGGCGUAAAGGGCGCGUAGGCGGUAGCACAAGUCAGUUGUGAAAUCUCCGGGCUUAACUCGGAAAGGUCAACUGAUACUGUGCGACUAGAGUGCAGAAGGGGCAACUGGAAUUCUCGGUGUAGCGGUGAAAUGCGUAGAUAUCGAGAGGAACACCUGCGGCGAAGGCGGGUAGCUGGGCCGACACUGACGCUGAAGUGCGAAAGCUAGGGGAGCGAACGGG
rnacentral:rRNA from 1 species